rnacentral:rRNA from 1 species
CCUACGGGAGGCUGCAGUGGGGAAUAUUGCACAAUGGGGGGAACCCUGAUGCAGCGACGCCGCGUGAGUGAAGAAGUAUUUCGGUAUGUAAAGCUCUAUCAGCAGGGAAGAAAAUGACGGUACCUGACUAAGAAGCCCCGGCUAACUACGUGCCAGCAGCCGCGGUAAUACGUAGGGGGCAAGCGUUAUCCGGAUUUACUGGGUGUAAAGGGAGCGCAGACGGCUGUGCAAGUCUGGAGUGAAAGGCGGGGGCCCAACCCCCGGACUGCUCUGGAAACUGUAAAGCUUGAGUGCAGGAGAGGUAAGCGGAAUUCCUAGUGUAGCGGUGAAAUGCGUAGAUAUUAGGAGGAACACCAGUGGCGAAGGCGGCUUACUGGACUGCAACUGACGUUGAGGCUCGAAAGCGUGGGGAGCAAACAGGAUUAGAUACCCUUGUAGUC